GUGGGGGGUGGGAGGUGGUGG
rnacentral:misc_RNA from 1 species